rnacentral:rRNA from 1 species
GACGAACGCUGGCGGCGUGCUUAACACAUGCAAGUCGAACGGAAAGGCCCCUUUGGGGGUACUCGAGUGGCGAACGGGUGAGUAACACGUGAGUAACCUGCCCUUGACUUCGGGAUACCUUCAGGAAACUGGGGCUAAUACCGGAUAGGAAUCCUUGCUGCAUGGUGGGGGUUGGAAAGCUUCGGCGGUUUUGGAUGGAUUGGCGGCUUAUCAGCUUGUUGGUGGGGUAGUGGCUUACCAAGGCUUUGACGGGUAGCCGGCCUGAGAGGGCGACCGGCCACAUUGGGACUGAGAUACGGCCCAGACGCCGACGGGAGGCAGCAGUGGGGAAUAUUGCACAAUGGGCGGAAGCCUGAUGCAGCAACGCCGCGUGCGGGAUGACGGCCUUCGGGUUGUAAACCGCUUUCAGCAGGGGCGAAGCUUGUGGUGACGGUACCUGCAGAAGAAGCACCGGCUAACUACGUG